CUAUCAAUGAAGCAGUGAAUCAGGAGAGACUUGGGUGAGAAAUGGCGGCUGAAUUAUGCUUACGGAACAUCUCGUAUCAUGCUCGUAAGGUUCUUUUACAUGCCGUGAAUCUACGACAUGGGACCGCUGAUUUUACUUCCCCUCCGAAGAAAGUUGUGCUAUGGAUUUUUAUCAUCCUUAAAAAUCCAUCACCUCUACCGGGAUUGAAACAUAAAAACCUUGGGUCCAGUGGCGAGCAGGCUAAUCCACCAAGAGUGACAUAUGCUAAGUGCUCAACCAUUCAGUGAUGUUUGAGGGGUUGAAAAGGUUUGUUCCAAUGGACAAGGCAGUGGAGAGAGAGAGAUGCUUCAGCUGCUUAUUCUUUUUAAAAAAUUAACAUGCACAUCAAUUCCACUAUAUUGCACUGUGCGGCAAUUUUGUGAAAAUGAUAGGUAACACUUGUGUAUCCUAAGGAAGUUGGCUUAAAAUUGUAAGAAAAUUUUACUGACAAUAAAAUCAAAGCUCGAGUUAACUGAAAAAUU